UACAGAGGUCUCAAGCGUUGUUCGGAUUCAUUGGGCGUAAAGGGUGCGUAGGCGGCUAUGUAAGUCAGAUAGUGAAAGUUUGCGGCUCAACCGUAAAAUUGCUUUUGAUACUGCAUGGCUAGAAUCAGGAUGAGGUUAGCGGAAUGUGGCAUGUAGCGGUGAAAUGCAUAGAUAUGCCAUAGAACACCAAUUGCGAAGGCAGCUGGCUAGACCUGUAUUGACGCUGAGGCACGAAAGCGUGGGGAUCGAACAGG
rnacentral:rRNA from 1 species